rnacentral:rRNA from 1 species
GUGUCAGCCGCCGCGGUAAUACGUAGGGUCCAAGCGUUAAUCGGAAUUACUGGGCGUAAAGCGUGCGCAGGCGGUUGUACAAGACCGAUGUGAAAUCCCCGGGCUUAACCUGGGAAUUGCAUUGGUGUCUGCACGGCUAGAGUGUGUCAGAGGGGGGCAGAAUUCCACGUGUAGUAGUGAAAUGCGUAGAGAUGUGGAGGAAUACCGAUGGCGAAGGCAGCCCCCUGGGAUAACACUGACGCUCAUGCACGAAAGCGUGGGGAGCAAACAGGAUUAGAAACCCCCGUAGUCC